rnacentral:misc_RNA from 1 species
GAUGAAGAACGUAGCGAAAUGCGAUAAGUAAUGUGAAUUGCAGAAUUCAGUGAAUCAUCGAAUCUUUGAACGCACCUUGCGCCCUUUGGACAUUCCGAAGGGCAUGCCUGUUUGAGUAUCAUGAACACCUCAACUCUCACGGCUUGUCCGUGAUGAGCUUGGACUUUGGGGGUCUUGCCGGCCUGUGGUCGGCUCCUCUCAAAUGGAUCAGCUUGCCAGUGUUUGGUGGCAUCACAGGUGUGAUAACUAUCUGCGCUUGUGGUUUUCCAUCAGAUAACCUUCAGUGAUAUGGAGGUUCGCUGGAGCUCACAAAUGUCUCUCCUUAGUGAGGACAGCUCUUUGAACGUUUGAUCUCAAAUCAGGUAGGACUACCCGCUGAACUUAAGCAUAUCAAUAAGCGGGGA